CGCUGUCAUACUCUCCGCCUGCUGGCACUUGCAGUAUAAGCAGCAACAGACGACGCAGGCUGCAAGGAUAAGCGAAUCACGCCAGCAACAAAUAAGGAUAUAUGUGUGUGGGCACAAUGGGCGCUCUCUCGAAAUCAACUUUGCUACUGUCAGGAGUCACUGUCAUUGUUGUUUCACUGUGUCUGUUGGUGCUGCUGCUGAUGCUGUCGAUGUCAAUGUAUAAAUCCAGAACAGAAUUUGACACCUUUUGGGAGUAGUGGCUCGCACUUGAAAUGUCGCAAUGUACAGGAGGCGAGCCUGAACAUAGCAGGAACGACAGAACAAACCAUAGACUUGAUUGAAUAUUCAUUAUUAUUAUUCUUGCCAAUCGUACAACUGUUGCUAAACGAAUGCGUUGACAGCUGAGCAUUGAAAGAAGCUUCUGGAGAGUGCUGAAAGAGUUGCAUUAGUGUUAGUUGAGAAUGCAGGUUUAUCCACGUUGCUAAACAGGCCUAUUGAUAAGCAAACAGUUGUGGGUAGAGGGUUAUGUGAAAAUAAUAUGUUUCUGUGCGGAAAUAUAGUCUGCAGAGACCACUCUCAA